rnacentral:rRNA from 1 species
AGAGUUUGAUCAUGGCUUCAGGACGAACGCUGGCGGCGUGCCUAAUACAUGCAAGUCGAACGCUUUUUCUUUUUCACCGGAGCUUGCUCCACCGAAAGAAAAAGAGUGGCGAACGGGUGAGUAACACGUGGGUAACCUGCCCAUCAGAAGGGGAUAACACUUGGAAACAGGUGCUAAUACCGUAUAACACUAUUUUCCGCAUGGAAGAAAGUUGAAAGGCGCUUUUGCGUCACUGAUGGAUGGACCCGCGGUGCAUUAGCUAGUUGGUGAGGUAACGGCUCACCAAGGCCACGAUGCAUAGCCGACCUGAGAGGGUGAUCGGCCACACUGGGACUGAGACACGGCCCAGACUCCUACGGGAGGCAGCAGUAGGGAAUCUUCGGCAAUGGACGAAAGUCUGACCGAGCAACGCCGCGUGAGUGAAGAAGGUUUUCGGAUCGUAAAACUCUGUUGUUAGAGAAGAACAAGGAUGAGAGUAGAACGUUCAUCCCUUGACGGUAUCUAACCAGAAAGCCACGGCUAACUACGCGCCAGCAGCCGCGGUAAUACGUAGGUGGCAAGCGUUGUCCGGAUUUAUUGGGCGUAAAGCGAGCGCAGGCGGUUUCUUAAGUCUGAUGUGAAAGCCCCCGGCUCAACCGGGGAGGGUCAUUGGAAACUGGGAGACUUGAGUGCAGAAGAGGAGAGUGGAAUUCCAUGUGUAGCGGUGAAAUGCGUAGAUAUAUGGAGGAACACCAGUGGCGAAGGCGGCUCUCUGGUCUGUAACUGACGCUGAGGCUCGAAAGCGUGGGGAGCGAACAGGAUUAGAUACCCUGGUAGUCCACGCCGUAAACGAUGAGUGCUAAGUGUUGGAGGGUUUCCGC